UUAGUUCAGUUGGUAGAACGGCGGACUGUUAAUCCGUAUGUCGCAAGUUCAAGUCUUGCA
rnacentral:tRNA from 2 species